rnacentral:rRNA from 1 species
GGAUUGCAGGCUGCAACUCGCCUGUACGAAGUUGGAAUUGCUAGUAAUCGUGGAUCAGCAUGCCACGGUGAAUACGUUCCCGGGUCUUGUACACACCGCCCGUCACACCAUGGGAGUCGGAAAUGCCCGAAGUCUGUGACCCAACCUGAGAAGGAGGGAGCAGCCGAAGGCAGGUCGGAUGACUGGGGUGAAGUCGUAACAAGGUAGC